CCAUGGCGCCUGUUUAUCAAAAACAUGGUUUUUUGAAUAUAAUAAAAAAUCUUACCUGCUCCCUGCUUAAGUUAAUAGCCGCAGUAUUAUGACUGUGCUAAGGUAGCAUAAUCAUUUGUCUUUUAAAUAAGGUCUAGAAUGAAAGGUUUGAUCGAAGAAAAAGCUGUCUCUUUAUUAUUAAGUGAAUUAAAUUAGUUAGUAAAAAGGCUAAUAUUAACCUGAAAGACGAUAAGACCCUAUUAAGCUUAAUUUUAAAAAUUUUACUGGGGAGGUAGGGUAAGACUUAAAUCUUAUUCAAUAAUGAUGAAGUUUUAGUGACCCAAUUUUAUUGAGGAUCAGAUAAAGCUACUAUAGGGAUAACAGCUUAAUUUUCCAUAAAAGAUCUUAUUUAAUGGAAAGUUUGAGACCUCGAUGUUGAAUUAAAGUGCCUAAUAAGUGUAGUAGCCUAUAUAGGAAGUCUGUUCGACUUUUAAAUCUUUACGUGAUCUGAGUUCAGACCGGCCAUGG
rnacentral:rRNA from 1 species